AGCAGUCGCCGCGGUAAUACAGAGGGUGCAAGCGUUAAUCGGAAUUACUGGGCGUAAAGCGCGCGUAGGUGGUUUGUUAAGUUGGAUGUGAAAUCCCCGGGCUCAACCUGGGAACUGCAUCCAAAACUGGCAGGCUAGAGUAGGGCAGAGGGUGGUGGAAUUUCCUGUGUAGCGGUGAAAUGCGUAGAUAUAGGAAGGAACACCAGUGGCGAAGGCGACCACCUGGGCUCAUACUGACACUGAGGUGCGAAAGCGUGGGGAGCAAACAGGAUUAGAUACCCCGGUAGUCCCUGUCUCUUAUAC
rnacentral:rRNA from 1 species